ACCUAGAAUGAAAAAAUAAAGCUUGAAUAUUAAUAGUUAUUUUCUUUAAAAUCAAAGAAUUUGGCGGUAGUUUAGUCUUGUUAGAGGAACCUGUUUUAUAAACGAUAAAUCACGCAAUAUCUUACUUGUUUUGGUAAUUAUCAGUUUGUAUACCGUCAUUAUUAAAUAAUUUUGGAAAAAAAAAUUAUUGGAAUUAAUUAUUUAAAUUUAAAUAUAUUAGAUCAAGGUGCAGCUUAUAAACAAGUAAAAAUGGGUUACAAUAAUAUUAAUUAAAUGAAUAAUAAGAAGAAUAAGUUUGUUUGAAGGUGGAUUUAAUUGUAAAAAUGGUUUAAUAAGUCAUUUUGAUAUAAGCUCUAAAUUAUGUACAUAUCGCCCGUCGCUUUCACUUAAAAU
rnacentral:rRNA from 1 species